rnacentral:tRNA from 1 species
AAUAAGGUGCCUGAUAAAAGGGUUACUUUGAUAGAGUAAAUCAUGUAAGGCCAGACUUACCCCUAUUA